rnacentral:tRNA from 1 species
GCGGGAUUAGUAUAGUGGUAGUACGAUACCCUUCCAAGGUAUGGGCGCCGGUUCGAUUCCGGUAUCCCGCUCCA